AACUGAUGGUGGAACAUGAACCUGAGAGUAUCAAGAUCAAUAAGUUAUGUUUUGAGGAUAUUAUUUUUCACAUGUAAAAUAAGCUCUCAUAAGAAACUGCCAUACAAAUAGAAAACACUGAAUGACACAUCCUACAGAUUCAUAAGCAUUAGCAUUAUAGGAACAAAAAUGCCUAAAUGAAAUGGUAGAUUGGUAAUAGAAUAAUGGCUCUUAAAACUUGCACACAAUAUAUGAACAAUGAAUAAGAGCUUCAAGAUGAAAACAAAGCAAAGUGGGAGCUCUAUCGCAGCAUUGUCAAUGUCCCUGAAGGUGUCCGUUAGAUGGAAAUAAAUAAUGGCAUGUCUCAUGUUAUGCAGUGAACAUCUGACGCAAAAUGAUCUAAAUAAAAUCAGUCUCUCCUAAUAUUAUUUUCACUAUAAAAUAU
rnacentral:misc_RNA from 1 species